rnacentral:rRNA from 1 species
GACUACAUUAGAUACCCGUGUAGUCCUAGCCGUAAACGAUACUCGCUAGGUGUCGGCCACGGUGCGACCGUUGUCGGUGCCGUAGGGAAGCCGUGAAGCGAGCCACCUGGGAAGUACGGCCGCAAGGCUGAAACUUAAAGGAAUUGGCGGGGGAGCACAACAACGGGUGGAGCUUGCGGUUUAAUUGGAUUCAACGCCGGAAAUCUUACCGGGACCGACAGCAACAUGAAGGCCAAGCUGAAGACUUUGCCGGAUUAGCUG